rnacentral:tRNA from 1 species
CCGACCUUAGCUCAGUUGGAAGAGCACAAGACUGUAAUCGGAUAUCUGGGGUGUUAGGAAUCUUGGGGUCGCCUGUUCGAACCAGGCAGGUCGGA